rnacentral:rRNA from 1 species
GAGUAAAGAUUUCGGUCGCUUUGGGAGGAGCUCGCUUACUAUCAGCUUGUUGGUAGGGUAAUGGCCUACCAAGGCUAUGACGGUUAGGGGGUGUGAGAGCAUGACCCCCAGCAUUGGCACUGAAACACUGGCCAAACACCUACGGGUGGCUGCAGUCGAGAAUCUUCCACAAUGGGGGAAACCCUGAUGGAGCGAUGCUGCGUGCGGGAUGAAGGCCUUCGGGUUGUAAACCGCUUUUGUAGGGGACGAAAUUUUUGACGGUACCCUUUCGAAUAAGAGGUUGCUAACUCUGUGCCAGCAGCAGCGGUAAUACAGAGACCUCAAGCGUUAUCCGGAUUUACUGGGCGUAAAGCGUCUGUAGGGGGUUUAUUAAGUUCCAAGUAAAAUUUCAAGGCUCAACUUUGAAUUCGCUUGGAAAACUAAUAAACUGGAGUCUAGCAGAGGUGCAUGGAACUUGUGGUGUAGGAGUGAAAUCCGUUGAUAUCACAAGGAACACCAAAGGCGAAGGCAUUGCACUGGGCUAGCACUGACCCUGAGAGACGAAAGCGUGGGGAGCAAAACGGAUUAGAUACCCGUGUAGUCCACGCCCUAAACGAUGAAUGCUAAAUGUUCGGGGAUUCGACCUCCUGGGUGUUACAGCUAACGCGUUAAGCAUUCCGCCUGGGAAGUACGGCCGCAAGGCUAAAACUCAAAGGAAUAGACGGGGAUCCGCACAAGCGGUGGAGCGUCUGGUUUAAUUCGACAGUAAGCGUGGUACCUCACCAGGGUUUGACAUCCCUUGACAGCCUUGGAAACAAGGUUUCCUUCGGGCAAGGUGACAGGUGCUGCAUGGUCGUCGUCAGUUCGUGCCGUGAGGUGUUCCGUUAAGUCGGGAAACGAACGAAACCCCUAUUGCAUGUUACAAUUUCUCAUGCAAGACUGCCCGGAUAUACUGGGAGGAAGGUGGGGAUGACGUCAGAUCUGCAUGGUCCUUAUACCCUGGGCGACACAGGCGCUACAAUGGCAGAGACAAAGGGUUGCAAAACCGCAAGGUGAAGCUAAUCCCAAAAACUUUGUCUAAGUUCGGAUUGAAGGCUGCAAUUCGCCUUCAUGAAGCUGGAAUCGCUAGUAAUCGUGAAUCAGCCACGUCACGGUGAAUAUGUUCCCGGAUCUUGUACUCACCGCCCGUCACACCAAGAGAGUUGGUAGCUCCCGAAG